AUGGCGGCGGUAGAAUUCGGCCCUCACGAGAAGAUGACGCUCGACGCGGAGCUGCUGCAAGUGCUAACCGCCGGCGACAAGGUCUGCAUGGAGGAGAUACUGAGCAGACAAGACCAUGGUGCCGGCCACCGCCGCCAGCAAACAGCCGCCCAGGGCCACGUCGCGGUAAACGUCCAUGGCGCGGCACCGGGCCGCUUUCUUCUAGGCGUGGCGAGCAACGGGAACACGGCUUUGCACCUUGUCGCCAGCCGCGGUCACGUCGAGCUGGCGACGCUCCUCUGCGAGAGGGCGCCCUCGCUGGCCGCCGCGCGCAACAAGUGCCUCGACACGCCGCUGCACUGCGCGGCGAGGUUCGGGCACGCGGAUGUGGCGGCUGUCCUCCUGCCGAGGAUGCGGGACGGCGCGGCGGAGGAGGAGUCCGCGCUGCGCGCGAGGAACCAGUCGGGCGCAACCGCCUUGUACGAAGCCGUCCGGCACGGGCGUGCCGGUGUGGUGGAUCUGCUCAUGACGGAGGUUCCCGAUCUGGCCUCCGUUGACGGCGACGAGGGUGUCUCGCCGCUCUACCUGGCGGCGUCGACUGACUCGCUCCAGAUGGUCCGCGCGCUGCUACGCCCGUCAGAAAACGGAACACCCUCGCCGGCGUCGUUUUCUGGUCCGGAGGGACGGACUGCUUUGCAUGCUGCGGCGGCUAGUAGCAGAGAAAUGGCUGAAGCAAUACUGAGCUGGGGGCCAGAAGGUCCAACGUUGCUAACCAGGCUUGAUUCGUCAGGGAGCACGCCUCUCCAUUUUGCAGUACUGUAUGGACGGCUUGAUGUAGUUGUGCUAUUCCUUGAUGGCCAUGCUUCGCUCGGGCUGGCUAGCAUUUCUGAUGGCAACGGGUCAUUUCCUCUGCACAUUGCCGCUAUGGUGGGACGAGCUAGAAUCAUGGAGGAGCUCAUACACCGAAUCCCUGACUGCUAUGAGAUGGUUGAUGGUAAAGGAAGAAAUAUUCUGCACUGUGCUGUGGAGCAUUGUCGGGUAACCGUGGUUCGCCAUAUUUGCCGGAAUGACAUGUUCUCGAUGCUGUGGAAUGCUACGGAUUCUGGAGGGAACACUCCACUCCAUCUGGCUGCCAAUCAUGGAUAUCCGAAGAUUGUCAUUUUACUACUGGAGACGACAAGUGUGGAGAUAGGCAUUACCAACAACGAUGGGACUAACUGCUAUGGAUCUUGCUCACCGUGCAAUAGCACCCGGCCGGAUAUACUAUUUCCUGGUAUUUCAAACAAGUCUUGGAUGCUAUUGGGGAGCUCAGAGGAGAGAUGA
rnacentral:rRNA from 1 species